rnacentral:rRNA from 1 species
UACGUAGGGUGCGAGCGUUGUCCGGAAUUAUUGGGCGUAAAGGGCUCGUAGGCGGUUUGUCGCGUCGGGAGUGAAAACCUUGGGCUUAACUCAGGGCUUGCUCUCGAUACGGGCAGACUAGAGGUAUGCAGGGGAGAACGGAAUUCCUGGUGUAGCGGUGAAAUGCGCAGAUAUCAGGAGGAACACCGGUGGCGAAGGCGGUUCUCUGGGCAUGAUCUGACGCUGAGGAGCGAAGUGUGGGAGCGAACAGG